rnacentral:lncRNA from 1 species
AUUUGUCUCAUAGCUUGUUAUGGGGUUAUUUAUUUUUACAAAAGUCUGGAUUAAAAUUGUUCUCUUUACUCUCUUCGCUUUUCAACAAUGGGAGAAAUGGGAUAAAACACCUAAAUUCAGAAGAGUAUGCACUGCUGCAGACCCUGAGCAGACAGGAAUUACCCAUCUGAAUAGAGAUAGCACAGUUUGGAAAAUGCAGUUUGCAAGCUCAUUUGCUCCUGCGCCGUGUUCAUAAGCAGAAUAUCAUUCCUUUCUGCAUAUCCGCUAGACUGGACAAAUCAAGGUGACAAUCCAUGGUUAACUCUGUCAGGCCCUUUGUCCUGCUGCUCCUGUGAAGCGCAAUACAAUGGGAACAAAGUGGAAUAUAUAACAGUCCAGCUGCCUUGUUGUGACAGCGCCGGCCCGAAUUACAGUGUGUCAGCCCUUGUUUGUGUAUCGAUAGCCGGUCCAUAACAUGACAAUGCAGAUUGCGCGAAAGCGCUUCGAUACGAGAAAAAAUCAUGUCAAGAGAGGGGAAAAAAUCAAACCUGUCUUGCGAAACUGAAGCUCGUAAAAGGCUAUAUUUUGGUACAGUUGUUACCUUCAGAUGUAGGGCCCGUUUUUUCAGCCUGGCAUGUUUCUAAGGGAUGCAGGUAGGCGCUUGCUUUUAAAUCUAUCAUACGGUGUCUGCUUACAGGGCUCCGCACUGAUGCUACUUUUAAGGCAGUUUAUAUUUCAUUUAAGCAUGCAAUUAAUCAUCUUUACAGUGUUGAUGUGACUGGCAUCAGCAGCGUUAUUUAAUUAAAUUUGAAAUUAUUGUACAGUAAAUAUAGGCUUCCAACUAGCCAGUCCAAAUUAAAUGCUGAGGUCUAUUUCUUACCCAUGGUGUUUCCAAUUUAAAUGCUCAUCCAAAAGGUUACACUUCACGGGUUGAAAUCAUUUUUAUGUUCUAACUGUUGCUAAACCAAAAGAUCAACUGUAUGUGAGUCCUGUGCAUCUAUUAGCUGCAGGAAUGUGUACACAUUAUCUAUAUUUCUCAUAUUCCAUUUUGUAUUAGCGAUUUUAUGACUGAUGCUCUUUAAGCACCAUUUUUCGUCUGAUACUCUGUCUCUUCUGUCACGUCAGCCCCGAGCUGCCGUUACAGAAAAGUCCUUCCUCCAUUUUGUUUCAGCCUGGUAAUCAAGCAAUUAGUCCACAAAAUGGAGGUGCUCUGCUUCGCUCCUCAUCCUGCGUGUCGCUCUGGGUGGGCUUUACCUGCGGGAAAGCGGCAGGCAGCGCGCUUUGCUGCCGCAAGGGCUAAAUCGGCCGCCGGAGAGUGUCCCCACGAUGACCAGUAAGUGUCCAUUGCUUAGGGGGACUCGUAGAGGAGAGAGACCUUUGUGGUGCUUCGCUGGAGAAUUAACGCGCAGCACACGCACUACCUGCCAACGCUGCACACGCCACAGCAGAAGGCGUAUGGCUGCUCCCCUUCCCUGACUGCGUUCAAGCUCUAAUUUUAUAACGACCUGAAAACGUGCAGGCAGCCGAACUUUUAAACGUUAGGAACAACAUUGCUUUUCACCUUGUCUUUAUUUCAUAAAGAAAAGAAGCGGGGGGAGGGGAAGGAAAUCAAACCAAACCAAACCACACCAAACCAACAACACCAUUUGUUUUAUGUUACAGCUUUCCACAGACAAUUCACAACAUGUCUAGCAAGGAAUCAGACCAGAAAUACCGUCUCACUCCUAUCAUAUAUAUAAUACAGCUUUUGAAUACUGGAAAAUCUGUCAUCCGUUAAGUGCAGCUCAGGUCUUCUGUGUGAAAAGCACAAGCCUUUUUUUUUUUUUAAUGCAGUGCUGCCGUGUCUGCACUUUUUUGAAAUUGCAUAUUUAUCAGUCUAUGAAUUAUUUAUGAGUGGAGAAGGGAGGGGGAGGGCUGGAAGGGGAAGGAAGAGUGAGAAAACAUAUGCUUGGGCAGAGGAAUACCUUAAAUGAAUCCUGUACCAAGUCUUUUGGAGGAUUAUUUGUAAUUACUUUUUCGUUUUCUUUUUUCUUUUUUUUUUUGUUUCUCUUACGUGUCACUCGGUUGUCUGCUAUUCCUAUUCUUUUGUUUGGUUGGUUUUGUUUGACUUUUUGGGACUAGGAAGGGAUUGGGGUACUGCUUGCUAAAAGUUGGAAGAUUUUGCCACAGAAAUGAACUGAGCAGUUCUUUUGACUUCUAAAGUACAGGGUGUUUAAUAAAUAUUAAUCCUUCAACUGUCA